AGACGUCUACAUUAGAUACCCCCGUAGUCCCUGCCGUAAACUAUGCGCGUUAGGUGUGUCGGUGACCACGAGUUACCGAGGUGCCGAAGGGAAACCGUGAAACGUGCCGCCUGGGAAGUACGGUCGCAAGGCUGAAACUUAAAGGAAUUGGCGGGGAGCACCACAACGGGUGGAGCCUGCGGUUUAAUUGGACUCAACGCCGGGAAGCUCACCGGAUAAGACAGCGGAAUGAUUGCCGGGCUGAAGACUCUGCAUGACUAGCUG
rnacentral:rRNA from 1 species